CCCUUAGAUGUUCUGGGCCGCACGCGCGCUACACUGACGAAUGCAACGAGCUUAUAACCUUGUCCGAAAGGUCUGGGUAAUCUCCAAAUUUCGUCGUGAUGGGGAUAGAUUAUUGCAAUUAUUAAUCUUCAACGAGGAAUGCCUAGUAAGCGCAAGUCAUCAGCUUGCGUUGAUUACGUCCCUGCCCUUUGUACACACCGCCCGUCGCUCCUACCGAUUGAAUGGUCCGGUGAAGCGUUCGGACCGUGGCCUUUGGACGGUUCGCCGUCUGUUGGCUGCGGGAAGUUCGUUAAACCUUAUCGUUUAGAGGAAGGAGAAGUCGUAACA
rnacentral:rRNA from 1 species